ensembl:lncRNA
GAAGCAGGAUUCCAAACCCCCUUCUUGCUCCUCAAGAGGAAAGGGGCCUCAGGGCAAAACCCCACAAGUGCCUUCCUCCUGCCAUGCUGCCUGUCAUAGCACAGACACUGUCACAGCAGGGAAACCCACUCCUGUGAGGAGAAAACCAAGUACCACAGGAGCCACGUCCACUGGCAGCGUCUGCUGAGCCCAAUUAGUGACAACAGCAGCCGGGCCCCCACGCAGCAUGCACUGACUCUGACCCGCCUCGCACACCACAAGGUCCUGAAGCUCAGCUUCGACUCAUCAGGGGCCUCUUCCAGGAGAGCUCGGCAUGUCUACCUUCCCUGGGCUCACAGAAAGCUGAGGGACUCAGUCCCGAGUGUGAACAGAGUCAAGCUCCCACUAGCUGUGCAGACAACCUCCCCAGCCCUGGCCUGGGAAGGGGCCAAGCAGAAACAGCCAUCUUUUGCCCGCACAGGUACAGAAUUCAGCCAGCUCUCUCAAUGGAGUCAUGACAGGUCAACUCCAGGCUCCUCAGGGCUCUGGGGUUCACCUCGGGCCACUGCACCUUUGAAAUGUGGCUGCAGACUCCUCUAGGCUGCUCGGUGUCACAGCCCAUUUCAUUCAGACACUGCAGGCCCCAACCCGUGGUGUCACUACCCAGGACACCCCUGCCGGCAUCCUCCGAGAUGCUGCUGCAGCUGCUGUGAUCUGAGAACAGCCACGUGCAGGCAUCAAAGGGAGGGCUUCUCAAGUCUCCUCCGAGAGCAGUGGCUACAGCUUCGGAAGACGUUGCACUGAAUCCUCGGUGAGCCUGGCUCGGUCUGCAAUCUAAGCCGGGUUGCUGGGGAGACUCACUCUGUUGUAACUGAUGGAGGCUGUUGGUGGCAGCUCUACGAAGACCAAGGAUGGCAACUAAUCUGAGAUUUACUAUCCAUACUUUCUAUCUGAUGUUUAAAAGGAAAGCAUCGUGAAAGUUCCAGUAGCAAGAAAUUUUCUAUAAUCUAUCACAUCAAGAUACAGCAGAAAUAUAGCUAAAAAGUUAAUAGGGUCUAUGCAGAAGAACAGAUGAGUCUAUUUCAGGAAAAGUGCUUGCUGGCUUUUUUAGAAACAGAGUGAAGUCCCUGCCAAGUAAAAGGUUGUUUAUACUUUUGCUUUGGAAACAGAGGGAAAGUUCUUCCUUAUUAUUGAAUACAUUAAAUAUAUUUAAGUGUUCUGGUAGACUAAGUAUUCAAUAUUCAAAAAUAAGUAAUUGUUUGGUCUAUUUCAUUCCUUAAAUGUAGCUUUCAAAAACUGACAAACACCUGGCCGGGUACGGUGGCUCACGCCUGUAAUCCCAGCACUUUGGGAGGCCGAGGUGGGCAGAUCACGAGGUCAGGAGAUUGAGACCAUCCUGGCCAACAUGGUGAAACCCCGUCUCUACUAAAAGCACAAAAAGUUAGCCGGGCAUGGUGGCGGGCACCUGUAGUCCCAGCUACUCAGGAGGCUGAGGCAGGAGAGUGGCGUGAACCCGGGAGGUGGAGGUUGCAGUGAGUGGAGACAGCACUACUGCAUUCCAGCCUGGGCGACAGAGGAACACUCCGUCUCAAAAAAAAAAAAAAAAAAAAAAA